rnacentral:rRNA from 1 species
CCUACGGGUGGCAGCAGUGGGGAAUAUUGCACAAUGGGGGAAACCCUGAUGCAGCGACGCCGCGUGAGUGAAGAAGUAUUUCGGUAUGUAAAGCUCUAUCAGCAGGGAAGAAAAUGACGGUACCUGAUUAAGAAGCCCCGGCUAACUACGUGCCAGCAGCCGCGGUAAUACGUAGGGGGCAAGCGUUAUCCGGAUUUACUGGGUGUAAAGGGAGCGUAGACGGCAGCGCAAGUCUGAAGUGAAAUGCCGGGGCUUAACCCCGGAACUGCUUUGGAACCUGUGCAGCUAGAGUGCAGGAGAGGUAAGUGGAAUUCCUAGUGUAGCGGUGAAAUGCGUAGAUAGUAGGAGGAACACCAGUGGCGAAGGCAGCAUGCCGGCUUCCGACUGACGCUGAAGCACGAAAGCGUGGGGAUCGAACAGGAUUAGAUACCCCAGUAGUC